CAUCCUUUAAAGAAAGCGUAAUAGCUCACUAGUCGAGUCGGCCUGCGCGGAAGAUAUAACGGGGCUAAACUGAUAACCGAAGCUGUGGAUGCGCAUUUAUGCGCAUGGUAGAGGAGCGUUCUGUAAGCCGUUGAAGGUGAAUCGUAAGGUUUGCUGGAGGUAUCAGAAGUGCGAAUGCUGACAUGAGUAACGAUAAGGGGGGUGAAAAACCCCCCCGCCGAAAGAUCAAGGUUUCCUGUCCAACGUUAAUCGGGACAGGGUGAGUCGGCACCUAAGGCGAGGGCGAAGGCCGUAGUCGAUGGAAAAUCGGUUAAAAUUCCGAUACCGAUUCUUACUGCGAUGGAGGGACGGAGCAGGCUAGGCUAGCACGGCGUUGGUAGUCCGUGUUUAAGCGUGUAGGUAGGGGGAUUAGGUAAAUCCGGUUCCCUGUUGAUCUGAGACGUGAUGACGAUCUCUUGGGGCAACCCUUGAGAGAAGUAGUUGAUGCCAUACUUCCAGGAAAAUCUUCUAAGCUUCAGGUAAGAAUUGACCGUACUGUAAACCGACACAGGUGAUCAGGUAGAGAAUACCAAGGCGCUUGAGAGAACUUGGGUGAAGGAACUAGGCAAAAUGGUACCGUAACUUCGGGAGAAGGUACGCUCUCUUUGGUGAUCGGACUUGCUCCGUAAGCUGAGGAGAGUCGAAGUGACCAGGUGGCUGCAACUGUUUAUUAAAAACAUAGCACUCUGCAAACUCGUGAGAGGAAGUAUAGGGUGUGACGCCUGCCCGGUGCCGGAAGGUUAAUUGAUGGGGUUAUCUUCGGAGAAGCUCUUGAUCGAAGCCCCGGUAAACGGCGGCCGUAACUAUAACGGUCCUAAGGUAGCGAAAUUCCUUGUCGGGUAAGUUCCGACCUGCACGAAUGGCGUAAUGAUGGCCACGCUGUCUCCACCCAAGACUCAGUGAAAUUGAAAUCGCUGUUAAGAUGCAGUGUACCCGCGGCUAGACGGAAAGACCCCGUGAACCUUUACUAUAGCUUCACACUGGACUUUGACCUUACUUGUGUAGGAUAGGUGGGAGACUUUGAAGCGUGAUCGCUAGAUUGCGUGGAGUCAUCCUUGAAAUACCACCCUGGUAAUGUUGAGGUUCUAACUUGGCUCCUGAAACGGGAGUGAGGACAGUGUGUGGUGGGUAGUUUGACUGGGGCGGUCUCCUCCUAAAGAGUAACGGAGGAGCACGAAGGUACCCUAAGAGCGGUCGGAAAUCGCUCGUUUAGUGUAAUGGCAUAAGGGUGCUUGACUGCGAGAGUGACAACUCGAGCAGGUGCGAAAGCAGGUCAUAGUGAUCCGGUGGUUCUGAAUGGAAGGGCCAUCGCUCAACGGAUAAAAGGUACUCCGGGGAUAACAGGCUGAUA
rnacentral:rRNA from 1 species